rnacentral:rRNA from 1 species
CCUACGGGUGGCAGCAGUGAGGAAUCUUGGUCAAUGGACGCAAGUCUGAACCAGCCAUGCCGCGUGCAUGAUGACGGCCCUAUGAGUUGUAAACUGCUUUUGUACGAGGGAAAACACCGAUACGUGUAUCUGCUUGACAGUACCGUACGUAAAAGGAUCGGCUAACUCCGUGCCAGCAGCCGAGGUACUACGGAGGAUACGUGCGUUAUCCGGUUUUAUUGGGUGUAAAGGGUGCGUAGGCGGUUUGGUAAGUUAGAGGUGAAAUGUCGGGGCUCAACCCCGGAACGGCCUGUGAUACUGGUGGACUUGAGAACAGAUGAGGUAGGUGGAAUGUAUGGUGUAGCGGUGAAAUGCUUAGAGAUA